rnacentral:tRNA from 3 species
GUCUCGGUGGCGCAAUGGUAGCGCGUUGGACUUCUAUUUCUAAGCUCUGUAAAUUUGCUUUAUCCGGUUAUCCAAAGGCUGCGGGUUCGAGCCCCGCCCGAGAUG